GGUUCUGACAAAUGGUUUUUAAUACCCGAGACAAAUAGACUGCGUUUUCUUUCAGGCUCUUAGAAUAUAGUAAGAUGUUAUUAAUGAACACGAUGAUGUAUUGAUCCAGUGCAUGCUGGAAAACCCUAUUCAUAAGAUCCAUAAAAGCACAGAGGUAUUAGUUAGUCUAAAAGGCAUAACAUUGAACUCGUACUGACCAUAUCAGCAUCGGAAAGCAAUCUUCGAAAUAUCUUCUUCUUUGACC
rnacentral:lncRNA from 1 species